UGAUGUCUUCUUUGGAAAACUGUUUAGUUCUCUGUCCAUCUAAAAAUUGGAUUGUUUUUUGUUAUUGAGUUGUAUGGGUUUUUAAAAAUAUAUAUUUCAGUUUGGCAUGUACUUCAGUGAUUAGAAUGAAAUCCCCCAAGAACAGUAUCUGUAGCCUUCCUCACAUAUUGCUAGUAAAGUGCCAAGGACUCCAGAGAAAGCGCACUAAAAUUUUGUAGUAUGAAAUACCUUUUAUACCUAUAAAGGUAUGACGUAACUCUACCAUAGAGUGGGUGUGGACCAUAGAGAGCUCCUGGAGGCCCUCGGGGCUCAGGAAAUAACCUUUCAGUGGGAUACAAAAAGCAAGGAAAGCGGGGAAGACUGAGAGAUGACAAUCUCCAACCAUAUGAAUUUACUUCUCCUUCCUGGGCUUUUUGGAAUUGGGAAAGAUUUGUAGAUGUGGAACCACAGGUGUCACAACAAUAUGGCCCAGAGAUCCUGGGAAGGCAGCUCCUGUAGCAGGAUCUGCCUGCGAGACUAGAUUCCCUCUGUGUCAGCAGAGGGAAGAAUUGGUAGACAGGUCUAAGUUCUGUCCACUCACUGAAGACCCUGAUUGAAGGUCUAAGUCCUGACUUUUGAGGCAACCUCCAUCUGUAGGCUUUACAUGUGAGAGGUGGCCCGAAAUCCUGCACAUCUCAUAUUGGUCAUGCAUAUGCCACUGUGUUUUCUGACUACUGAAAUAUAAUAAAACAGUGGUCACAGUGUUUACCCUUUAUUUAUGAUUUAAAAUAUUUCCAGGAAUUUUAGAAUUUGGAGAAUAUAUUACUGCCCAGCAAUAUUCCUUGAAACAAAAAUCUAAGGGAAUUUAUAAAAAUUUGCCUGGAUCUUUGCCUAACAAAUGCAAUGGGAGAAAGGCUAGUGCAAAAAUCAGGCAAGUUUCUGUCCCAUACACACAGAGAGGCUGCCGAUACCACCGCACAUAGAGUGUAUGUUGUGAGCAGCUUUCUGAGUUGCAGGAGGGCUUAUAUGAUCCAUAUACGCUAUUGUCCUUAUUACUUAAGAGGCAUUCGUGCAUCCAGCCAGCCAGAAAUUUACUGGAUAUCUACUCCAUGUCGGGCACUCAGAUUAUACAGAUUGUUGUUAAGACAUGGUCCUUUAUUCUCAAUUAGCUGAUAUUCCACUAGAGGGAGCCAAAUAUAUAAAUAAGCACAAUAACCGUGUUGAAAGUGCUGGCAUCGGAGUCUGGGCAGAAGGUGUGUGUGUGAGGUGGGGAGGGUAACAGAAGGAACUGGACAAAUCUGCCCCAGGAUGGGUCAGGAAAAGUCUUCAUAGGAAAGGUGUCCCUGAGCAGUGUUUCUGAGGCUUCUUACCCAGAAUAAGGAGGCUGCUGAGGUGAGCACGGAACUGUGAGGCUUCUGUGUGAAGCUAACUGGAGAGACGGAAGAUGAGACCUCUGGCCUGAGCCUUUUGACUGUUGCACGUGGACACCACAGAGAACGGCACACACAUCAUCAAAGCCUGAGCCACGUGCAAGUGAUGUCUGGCGAUAUUUGAGGUUGGACCAAAUGAUGUUUUCCUGGGAGAAGCAGAACACGCCGAGCCGGCCUCCACGCAUGGUGGUGUCUAUGGUGACCCCCGAGUCGGCCACCAACUCGGAGCCUUCAUAAAACUGCACCCUGCGGACAACACAGCCAGAGCGGGUCUCCGUGAACCUGGAUCGUGCUCCCGCUGCUGUGUUCCCCUUUCCCUACGAGACUGGAACCUCCAUGAGGUCAGGGACCACCCGUCCACAUCUCCCCUCUUCCGUCUCUCCAAAGGCCUAGCAUGAUGCUGGGCACCGAGUUCAACUCGCUGGGUACUCGCUGAUGAGUUAAAGAGAAAUCACAAUACGACUCAGGACCAAGAGGCUUUCUGACUUCACUGUCCAGUGGUUGACUCUGCAGAUACUGAGCCGCUGAUACGGAAGGCCGACUGUGGGACUGGAGCAUCUGCAGAUCUUUAUCCCUGGCGGGGUCCUGGAACUGAUCCCCUGAAUUGCUCAAAGUCCUACAGGGAAAUAAGGCAGAUUACAUCGGCUCACAUGAAGGUCAGUUCAUGCCGAGGGUGGGACGUGCCGUCACUGUGUCAGGCACUGGGGAGACCAAGAUAAAAUGAGACAUGGGUGCUGCCCUCGUGGAGUUUAUCAGGCCGUGAGGGACUCACUGCAGCGUGAAAUGUUUGUGGAAACUAUCGGAUCCAGCCUAUACUUUGAUGAUAGUCACCUAUAUGUUCCGGAAGCUAUACAGGAACAAACGUCCUCCCUCACGGCCUGUGAGGCUCCAGAGUUGUGCUCCAGAGGUGCUAUGCACACAGACCACAAUACGAGGCCCCUUCAGUGGCCCCUGAAGCUGGGUGAUGUAGCCGCCCUGCCUGACAGCUCUUCCCAGGCUCCUGGGAAAUGCCCGAGUCUCUGCGGGAGGAGCCUGACCCAGAGCUGCAGCCCAUGACCCUGCUCAGCCCUUCUACCUCAAUCCUCCACUUCCAGGACGCUUAUGCAUGAGAAGGAUGGUGGGGAGGGAGGAAAGCUGCAGUCUGGGAAGACAGAUGCCCUACAGAGUCACAUCCCUGACAAGACACUGCUCGAAGGGAUUCCUGCAAAGUUUCUGGCAAUGAUAUCGAGUUCCCAGAACACCAGGGUUCUUCUUCCACAGAAACAAGUGGGCCUUGGGGCCACCAGGCACAGGCCAUGUGGAACCCCCUGGAGCGGAAAGGCCCUCAGAGUCAGUCAUUCUAUUCCUGCUCCUAAGAGAGAACAAGGGGAAAAAGGACAAAUGAGUCCCAAGUAAAAGACUAAGCAAGACACACCCACCAUCUCC